rnacentral:rRNA from 1 species
GAUGAACGCUAGCGGCAGGCUUAACACAUGCAAGUCGAGGGGUAGAGGCUUUCGGGCCUUGAGACCGGCGCACGGGUGCGUAACGCGUAUGCAAUCUGCCUUUCACAGAGGGAUAGCCCAGAGAAAUUUGGAUUAAUACCUCAUAGCAUAAUCAGACCGCAUGGUUUGAUUAUUAAAGUCACAACGGUGAAAGAUGAGCAUGCGUCCCAUUAGCUAGUUGGUAAGGUAACGGCUUACCAAGGCAACGAUGGGUAGGGGUCCUGAGAGGGAGAUCCCCCACACUGGUACUGAGACACGGACCAGACUCCUACGGGAGGCAGCAGUGAGGAAUAUUGGUCAAUGGGCGCAAGCCUGAACCAGCCAUGCCGCGUGCAGGAUGACGGUCCUAUGGAUUGUAAACUGCUUUUGUACGGGAAGAAACACUCCUACGUGUAGGAGCUUGACGGUACCGUAAGAAUAAGGAUCGGCUAACUCCGUGCCAGCAGCCGCCGUAAUAC